rnacentral:rRNA from 1 species
GAUGAACGCUAGCUACAGGCUUAACACAUGCAAGUCGCGGGGCAGCAUGGGGGUUGCUUGCAAUCCCCGAUGGCGACCGGCGCACGGGUGAGUAACGCGUAUUCAACCUGCCCUUCACCACGGGAUAACCCGGCGAAAGUCGGACUAAUACCGUAUGUUGUCCAUUGACGGCAUCCGAUUUGGACGAAAGGCUUGGCGGUGAGGGAUGGGGAUGCGUCCGAUUAGCCAGACGGCGGGGUAACGGCCCACCGUGGCUACGAUCGGUAGGGGUUCUGAGAGGAAGGUCCCCCACACUGGAACUGAGACACGGUCCAGACUCCUACGGGAGGCAGCAGUGAGGAAUAUUGGUCAAUGGGCGUAAGCCUGAACCAGCCAAGUAGCGUGCAGGAUGACGGCCCUAUGGGUGGUAAACUGCUUUUAUGCGGGGAUAAAGUGGCCCACGGGUGGGCUUUUGCAGGUACCGCAUGAAUAAGGACCGGCUAAUUCCGUG